UACGUAGGGGCUAGCGUUAUCCGGAAUUAUUGGGCGUAAAGGGUUCGCAGGCGGCCUUGUAAGUCAGAUGUGAAAGACAGCGGCUUAACCGUUGUAAGCAUUUGAAACUGCAGGGCUUGAGUACAGGAGAGGAAAGCGGAAUUCCUAGUGUAGCGGUGAAAUGCGUAGAUAUUAGGAGGAACACCAGUGGCGAAGGCGGCUUUCUGGACUGUAACUGACGCUGAGGCGCGAAAGCGUGGGGAGCAAACGGGAUUAGAUACCCCCGUAGUCCCUGAGCGGG
rnacentral:rRNA from 1 species